rnacentral:rRNA from 1 species
CUACGGGGUGCUCCAGUGGGGAAUAUUGCACAAUGGAGGAAACUCUGAUGCAGCAACGCCGCGUGGAGGAUGACACUUUUCGGAGCGUAAACUCCUUUUAUAUAGGAAGAAGAUGACGGUACUAUAUGAAUAAGCGCCGGCUAACUCCGUGCCAGCAGCCGCGGUAAUACGGAGGGCGCAAGCGUUACUCGGAAUCACUGGGCGUAAAGAGCGUGUAGGCGGAUUAAAAAGUCAGAAGUGAAAUCCUAUAGCUUAACUAUAGAACUGCUUCUGAGACUCUUAAUCUAGAAUAUGGGAGAGGUAGAUGGAAUUUCUGGUGUAGGGGUAAAAUCCGUAGAGAUCAGAAGGAAUACCGAUUGCGAAGGCGAUCUACUAGAACAUUAUUGACGCUGAGACGCGAAAGCGUGGGGAGCAAACAGGAUUAGAUACCCUGGUAGUC